GAUGAAGAACGUAGCGAAAUGCGAUAAUUAAUGUGAAUUGCAGAAUUCAGUGAAUCAUCGAGUCUUUGAACGCACAUUGCACCCCCUGGUAUUCCGGGGGUAUGCCUGUCCGAGCGUCAUUGCUGCCCUCAAGCACGGCUUGUGUGUUGGGUCGUCGUCCCCCCGGGGACGGGCCCGAAAGGCAGCGGCGGCACCGCGUCCGGUCCUCGAGCGUAUGGGGCUUUGUCACCCGCUCUUGUAGGCCCGGCCGGCGCUGGCCGACGCUGAAAAGCAACCAACUAUUUCUCCAGGUUGACCUCGGAUCAGGUAGGGAUACCCGCUGAACUUAAGCAUAUCAAUAAGCGGAGGA
rnacentral:misc_RNA from 1 species